rnacentral:rRNA from 1 species
AGGGAUCAGCUCAGCAUGGAAAUUGGGGCCCUCGGCCUUGAAUUGUAGUCUCGAGAUGCAUCGCCAAUGGAGGCGCAAAUGUAAGCCUCUUGGAAAAGAGCAUCAACGAGGGUGAGAGUCCCGUUUGUCAUCUGCAGUCCCCCAUGCACGGCGUGCCUUCUAAGAGUCGCGUUCCUCGGAAUUGGAGCGUAAAUUGGGUGGUAAAUUUCAUCUCAAGCUAAAUAUUGGUUCGAGACCGAUAGCAAACAAGUACCAUGAGGGAAAGGUGAAAAGGACUUUGAAAAGAGAGUUAAAAGUGCCUGAAAUUGCUGAAAGGGAAGCGAAUGGAACCAGUGUUGCUUGGCGAGAUUGUCAUACGCAUUCGCGUGUGGUGGUUCUUGCCUUGUGUGUCAACGCCAGUUCGCGAUCGAGGAAAACUCUUGGGACAUGGUAGCCUGUCUUCGGGCGGGUGAAUGUGCCUUGUAGAACUCAUUUGCGGACUGAUU